rnacentral:rRNA from 1 species
GGCGGACGGGUGAGUAACGCGUGGGUAACCUGCCUCAUACAGGGGGAUAACAGUUAGAAAUGACUGCUAAUACCGCAUAAGACCACAGCACCGCAUGGUGCAGGGGUAAAAACUCCGGUGGUAUGAGAUGGACCCGCGUCUGAUUAGGUAGUUGGUGGGGUAACGGCCUACCAAGCCGACGAUCAGUAGCCGACCUGAGAGGGUGACCGGCCACAUUGGGACUGAGACACGGCCCAAACUCCUACGGGAGGCAGCAGUGGGGAAUAUUGCACAAUGGACGAGAGUCUGAACCAGCCAAGUAGCGUGAAGGAUGACUGCCCUAUGGGUUGUAAACUUCUUUUAUAUGGGAAUAAAGUGAGUCACGUGUGGCUUUUUGUAUGUACCAUAUGAAUAAGGAUCGGCUAACUCCGUGCCAGCAGCCGCGGUAAUACGGAGGAUCCGAGCGUUAUCCGGAUUUAUUGGGUUUAAAGGGAGCGUAGGCGGAUGCUUAAGUCAGUUGUGAAAGUUUGCGGCUCAACCGUAAAAUUGCAGUUGAAACUGGGUGUCUUGAGUGCAGUAGAGGUAGGCGGAAUUCGUGGUGUAGCGGUGAAAUGCUUAGAUAUCACGAAGAACUCCGAUUGCGAAGGCAGCUUGCUGGACAGUAACUGACGUUGAGGCUCGAAAGCGUGGGGAGCAAACAGGAAUAGAUACCCUGGUAGUCCACGCCGUAAACGAUGACUACUAGGUGUCGGGUGGCAAAGCCAUUCGGUGCCGCAGCAAACGCAAUAAGUAGUCCACCUGGGGAGUACGUUCGCAAGAAUGAAACUCAAAGGAAUUGACGGGGGCCCGCACAAGCGGAGGAACAUGUGGUUUAAUUCGAUGAUACGCGAGGAACCUUACCCGGGCUUAAAUUGCAACAGAAUAUAUUGGAAACAGUAUAGCCGUAAGGCUGUUGUGAAGGUGCUGCAUGGUUGUCGUCAGCUCGUGCCGUGAGGUGUCGGCUUAAGUGCCAUAACGAGCGCAACCCUUAUCUUUAGUUACUAACAGGUCAUGCUGAGGACUCUAGAGAGACUGCCGUCGUAAGAUGUGAGGAAGGUGGGGAUGACGUCAAAUCAGCACGGCCCUUACGUCCGGGGCUACACACGUGUUACAAUGGGGGGUACAGAGGGCCGCUACCACGCGAGUGGAUGCCAAUCCCUAAAACCCCUCUCAGUUCGGACUGGAGUCUGCAACCCGACUCCACGAAGCUGGAUUCGCUAGUAAUCGCGCAUCAGCCACGGCGCGGUGAAUACGUUCCCGGGCCUUGCACUCACCGCCCGUCAAG